UCGAGGGGCAGCGGUGGUGAAGGCUUGCCUUUACCAGCCGGCGACCGGCGCACGGGUGAGUAACACGUAUGCAACCUGCCUGCCACAGCCGGAUAAUCGGGAGAAAUCCCGUCUAAUACGGCAUAAUGCACCUAUGGGACAUCCUGUUGGUGCCAAAGGUUAAUUCCGGUGGCGGAUGGGCAUGCGUCGCAUUAGUUAGUUGGCGGUGUAACGGACCACCAAGACGACGAUGCGUAGGGGUUCUGAGAGGAAGGUCCCCCACACUGGUACUGAGACACGGACCAGACUCCUACGGGAGGCAGCAGUGAGGAAUAUUGGUCAAUGGGCGGGAGCCUGAACCAGCCAAGUCGCGUGAGGGAUGACGGCCCUAUGGGUUGUAAACCUCUUUUGCCGGGGAGCAAAGUGCCGCACGUGUGCGGUUUGGAGAGUACCCGGAGAAAAAGCAUCGGCUAACUCCGUGCCAGCAGCCGCGGUAAUACGGAGGAUGCGAGCGUUAUCCGGAUUUAUUGGGUUUAAAGGGUGCGUAGGCGGACGCUUAAGUCAGCGGUAAAAUUGCGGGGCUCAACCUCGUCGAGCCGUUGAAACUGGGUGCCUUGAGUGGGCGAGAAGUACGCGGAAUGCGUGGUGUAGCGGUGAAAUGCAUAGAUAUCACGCAGAACUCCGAUUGCGAAGGCAGCGUACCGGCGCCCAACUGACGCUGAAGCACGAAGGCGUGGGUAUCGAACAGGAUUAGAUACCCUGGUAGUCCACGCAGUAAACG
rnacentral:rRNA from 1 species